rnacentral:rRNA from 1 species
UUAAGCGACUAAGCGUACACGGUGGAUGCCCUGGCAGUCAGAGGCGAUGAAGGACGUGCUAAUCUGCGAAAAGCGCCGGCGAGGUGAUAUGAACCUUUGACCCGGCGAUGUCCGAAUGGGGAAACCCAGUGCAAUUCGUUGCACUAUCGUUAACUGAAUACAUAGGUUAACGAGGCGAACCGGGGGAACUGAAACAUCUAAGUACCCCGAGGAAAAGAAAUCAACCGAGAUUCCCCCAGUAGCGGCGAGCGAACGGGGAGCAGCCCAGAGUCUGAAUCAGCUUGUGUGUUAGUGGAAGCGUCUGGAAAGUCGCACGGUACAGGGUGACAGUCCCGUACACGAAAAUGCACAGGUUGUGAACUCGAAGAGUAGGGCGGGACACGUGGUAUCCUGUCUGAAUAUGGGGGGACCAUCCUCCAAGGCUAAAUACUCCUGACUGACCGAUAGUGAACCAGUACCGUGAGGGAAAGGCGAAAAGAACCCCGGCGAGGGGAGUGAAAUAGAACCUGAAACCGUGUACGUACAAGCAGUGGGAGCACCUUCGUGGUGUGACUGCGUACCUUUUGUAUAAUGGGUCAGCGACUUAUAUUCUGUAGCAAGGUUAACCGUAUAGGGGAGCCGAAGGGAAACCGAGUCUUAACUGGGCGUUAAGUUGCAGGGUAUAGACCCGAAACCCGGUGAUCUAGCCAUGGGCAGGUUGAAGGUUGGGUAACACUAACUGGAGGACCGAACCGACUAAUGUUGAAAAAUUAGCGGAUGACUUGUGGCUGGGGGUGAAAGGCCAAUCAAACCGGGAGAUAGCUGGUUCUCCCCGAAAGCUAUUUAGGUAGCGCCUCGUGAACUCAUCUUCGGGGGUAGAGCACUGUUUCGGCUAGGGGGCCAUCCCGGCUUACCAACCCGAUGCAAACUACGAAUACCGAAGAAUGUUAUCACGGGAGACACACGGCGGGUGCUAACGUCCGUCGUGAAGAGGGAAACAACCCAGACCGCCAGCUAAGGUCCCAAAGUCAUGGUUAAGUGGGAAACGAUGUGGGAAGGCACAGACAGCCAGGAUGUUGGCUUAGAAGCAGCCAUCAUUUAAAGAAAGCGUAAUAGCUCACUGGUCGAGUCGGCCUGCGCGGAAGAUGUAACGGGGCUAAACCAUGCACCGAAGCUGCGGCAGCGACACUAUGUGUUGUUGGGUAGGGGAGCGUUCUGUAAGCCGUUGAAGGUGUGCUGUGAGGCAUGCUGGAGGUAUCAGAAGUGCGAAUGCUGACAUAAGUAACGAUAAAGCGGGUGAAAAGCCCGCUCGCCGGAAGACCAAGGGUUCCUGUCCAACGUUAAUCGGGGCAGGGUGAGUCGACCCCUAAGGCGAGGCCGAAAGGCGUAGUCGAUGGGAAACAGGUUAAUAUUCCUGUACUUGGUGUUACUGCGAAGGGGGGACGGAGAAGGCUAUGUUAGCCGGGCGACGGUUGUCCCGGUUUAAGCAUGUAGGCGGAGCUUUCAGGUAAAUCCGGUAGUUUAUUAACGCUGAGGUGUGAUGACGAGGCACUACGGUGCUGAAGUAACAAAUGCCCUGCUUCCAGGAAAAGCCUCUAAGCAUCAGGUAACAUUAAAUCGUACCCCAAACCGACACAGGUGGUCAGGUAGAGAAUACCAAGGCGCUUGAGAGAACUCGGGUGAAGGAACUAGGCAAAAUGGUGCCGUAACUUCGGGAGAAGGCACGCUGAUAUGUAGGUGAAGCCCCUGCGGGUGGAGCUGAAAUCAGUCGAAGAUACCAGCUGGCUGCAACUGUUUAUUAAAAACACAGCACUGUGCAAACACGAAAGUGGACGUAUACGGUGUGACGCCUGCCCGGUGCCGGAAGGUUAAUUGAUGGGGUUAGCGGCAACGCGAAGCUCUUGAUCGAAGCCCCGGUAAACGGCGGCCGUAACUAUAACGGUCCUAAGGUAGCGAAAUUCCUUGUCGGGUAAGUUCCGACCUGCACGAAUGGCGUAAUGAUGGCCAGGCUGUCUCCACCCGAGACUCAGUGAAAUUGAACUCGCUGUGAAGAUGCAGUGUACCCGCGGCAAGACGGAAAGACCCCGUGAACCUUUACUAUAGCUUGACACUGAACACUGGUCCUUGAUGUGUAGGAUAGGUGGGAGGCUUUGAAGCGUGGACGCCAGUCUGCGUGGAGCCGUCCUUGAAAUACCACCCUUUAAUGGCUGGUGUUCUAACGUAGACCCGUAAUCCGGGUUGCGGACAGUGUCUGGUGGGUAGUUUGACUGGGGCGGUCUCCUCCCAAAGAGUAACGGAGGAGUACGAAGGUUAGCUAAUCCUGGUCGGACAUCAGGAGGUUAGUGCAAUGGCAUAAGCUAGCUUGACUGCGAGAGUGACGGCUCGAGCAGGUGCGAAAGCAGGUCAUAGUGAUCCGGUGGUUCUGAAUGGAAGGGCCAUCGCUCAACGGAUAAAAGGUACUCCGGGGAUAACAGGCUGAUACCGCCCAAGAGUUCAUAUCGACGGCGGUGUUUGGCACCUCGAUGUCGGCUCAUCACAUCCUGGGGCUGAAGUAGGUCCCAAGGGUAUGGCUGUUCGCCAUUUAAAGUGGUACGCGAGCUGGGUUUAGAACGUCGUGAGACAGUUCGGUCCCUAUCUGCCGUGGGCGCUGGAGAAUUGAGGGGGGCUGCUCCUAGUACGAGAGGACCGGAGUGGACGCAUCACUGGUGUUCGGGUUGUCAUGCCAAUGGCACUGCCCGGUAGCUAAAUGCGGAAAAGAUAAGUGCUGAAAGCAUCUAAGCACGAAACUUGCCCCGAGAUGAGUUCUCCCUGAGACUUUAAGUCUCCUGAAGGAACGUUGAAGACGACGACGUUGAUAGGUCGGGUGUGUAAGCGCAGCGAUGCGUUGAGCUAACCGAUACUAAUGAACCGUGAGGCUUAACCUU